GCCCCAGGGGUCAGAGCUUGCAUGCUAAUGGUGCGUAGGCCUGGUUCAGGUCCUGGAGUCAAGGGCAAAGAGAGCAUAGUGUGGGCCAGAGCGGGCCCGAGCGAGCCCUGUUAUAUUGGGGGUCAUGUCCCUUGUUUUUUGUGACUGUGUAGCGUCUGCCUCCAUCACUGAGGUCACCUGGUUGUAGCGUCCUUAAGUCGGAGAGGGUCAGCUUGUUUUGGGGACAGUGGUUGAGCU